rnacentral:rRNA from 1 species
AUCCUACGGGGCGCAGCAGUAAGGGAUAUUGGUCAAUGGGGGAAACCCUGAACCAGCAACGCCGCGUGAGGGAAGACGGUUUUCGGAUUGUAAACCUCUGUCCUCUGUGAAGAUGAUGACGGUAGCAGAGGAGGAAGCUCCGGCUAACUACGUGCCAGCAGCCGCGGUAAUACGUAGGGAGUGAGCGUUAUCCGGAUUUAUUGGGUUUAAAGGGUGCGCAGGCGGAUUUUUAAGUCAGCGGUCAAAUCGUGGGGCUCAACCCCAUCCAGCCGUUGAAACUGGGGAUCUAGAGUGUGCGAGAGGUA